UACGAGGGGAGCAAGCGUUGUUCGGAUUUACUGGGCGUAAAGGGCGCGUAGGCGGUCAGCACAAGUCAGUUGUGAAAUCUCCGGGCUUAGCUCGGAAAGGUCAACUGAUACUGUGCGACUAGAGUGCAGAAGGGGCAACUGGAAUUCUCGGUGUAGCGGUGAAAUGCGUAGAUAUCGAGAGGAACACCUGCGGCGAAGGCGGGUUGCUGGGCUGACACUGACGCUGAUGCGCGAAAGCCAGGGGAGCGAACGGG
rnacentral:rRNA from 1 species